CCCUUAGAUGUUCUGGGCCGCACGCGCGCUACACUGACGAAGUCAGCGAGCAUGUCCUACGCCGACAGGUGCGGGGAAUCUUGUCAAACUUCGUCGUGAUGGGGAUUGAUUAUUGAAAUUCUUGAUCAUCAACGAGGAAUUCCUAGUAAGCGCAAGUCAGCAGCUUGCGUUGAUUACGUCCCUGCCCUUUGUACACACCGCCCGUCGCUACUACCGAUUGAAUGGUUUAGUGAGAUCUUCGGUUUGGCGCCACUGCGGCUCAGCAAUGGGCUCGGUGGAUGCCGAAAAGUUGAUCAAACUUGAUCAUUUAGAGGAAGUAAAAGUCGUAACA
rnacentral:rRNA from 1 species